GAGCUGUGAUGAUUAUUGCACUAAUUUGUGAAGUAGGGUCUUCACUACCAUUUGAUAUAAUAUAUGAUGAAAUCAUGUGCUUCUGAGCUC